AGCCAGGAGGCCUACUGGUUAGUGCGAUGGACUAACGAUCCCUUGGGAUCUUUCCCGACAUGAGAUCGAAUCUCAUCCUGGUCG
rnacentral:tRNA from 1 species